CCUACGGGAGGCAGCAGUGAGGAAUAUUGGUCAAUGGGCGGAAGCCUGAACCAGCCAAGUAGCGUGCAGGAUGACGGCCCUACGGGUUGUAAACUGCUUUUAUACGGGAAUAACGCGCCUUACGUGUAGGGCUUUGCAUGUACCGUAUGAAUAAGGACCGGCUAAUUCCGUGCCAGCAGCCGCGGUAAUACGGACGGUCCGGGCGUUAUCCGGAUUUAUGGGGUUUAAAGGGAGCGUAGGCCGCAUGUGAAGCGUGCUGUGAAAUGUCCGGGCCCAAACCGGGCCUUGCAGCGGAAACGGGUCGGCUGGAGUGUAGGAGCGGGAGGUAGAAUGCCUGGUGUAGCGGUGAAAUGCGUAGAGAUCA
rnacentral:rRNA from 1 species